AAUCGUAAAAAUAUGCUUAGUAUCUUCUGCUCAAUGUUAAAAUAAAUUGCCGCAGUACCCUAACUGUGCUAAGGUAGCAUAAUCACUUGUCUACUAAUUAUAGACUAGAAUGAAUGAAUAAAUGAGACUUAUUCUGUUUCAUAUGAUACAAUAAAAUCUUAUCUAAGGGUGAAAAAGCCCUUAUACUCUCGUAAGACAAGAAGACCCUACAGAACUUAAUUAAAUAAAAUUUUAAUAAUAUUAAUAAAAUUAAUUGGGGCGAUUUAUAUAUAAUGAACAAUACUUAUUCUCAAGAUAUACAAAUCUUAAUUAAAGUGAUCCAUAAAAUUAUGAUCAACGAUAAAGCUACCUUAGGGAUAACAGACUAAUUUUCCUUAAGAGUUCAUAUCCAAAGAAAAGAUUAGUACCUCGAUGUUGGCUUAUCUAGAAUUAUUUAGAGCAAAAACUAAAAUAAUGGGCUUGUUCAGCCCUUAAUUUUUU
rnacentral:rRNA from 1 species